UACGUAGGGUGCAAGCGUUGCUCGGAAUGACUGGGCGUAAGGGCGCGUAGGCGGACGGCUUUGUCGGGCGUGAAAUUCCAGGGCUUAAACCUUGGGGGCUGCGUUCGAGACGGGUUGUCUAGAGUUUGGAAGAGGGUCGUGGAAUUCCCAGUGUAGAGGUGAAAUUCGUAGAUAUUGGGAAGAACACCGGUGGCGAAGGCGGCGACCUGGUCCUUGACUGACGCUGAGGCGCGAAAGCGUGGGGAGCAAACAGG
rnacentral:rRNA from 1 species